UACGGAGGGUGCAAGCGUUAUCCGGAUUCACUGGGUUUAAAGGGUGCGUAGGCGGGCAGGUAAGUCAGUGGUGAAAUCUCCGAGCUUAACUCGGAAACUGCCGUUGAUACUAUUGUCUUGAAUAUUGUGGAGGUAAGCGGAAUAUGUCAUGUAGCGGUGAAAUGCUUAGAUAUGACAUAGAACACCAAUUGCGAAGGCAGCUCACUACCCAGAUAUUGACACUGAGGCACGAAAGCGUGGGGAUCAAACAGG
rnacentral:rRNA from 1 species